AUUGAACGCUAGCGGGAUGCUUUACACAUGCAAGUCGAACGGCAGCGCGGACUUCGGUCUGGCGGCGAGUGGCGAACGGGUGAGUAAUGUAUCGGAACGUGCCCAGUAGCGGGGGAUAACUACGCGAAAGCGUAGCUAAUACCGCAUACGCCCUACGGGGGAAAGCAGGGGAUCGUAAGACCUUGCACUAUUGGAGCGGCCGAUAGCCGAUUAGCUAGUUGGUGAGGUAACGGCUCACCAAGGCGACGAUCCGUAGCUGGUUUGAGAGGACGACCAGCCACACUGGGACUGAGACACGGCCCAGACUCCUACGGGAGGCAGCAGUGGGGAAUUUUGGACAAUGGGGGCAACCCUGAUCCAGCCAUCCCGCGUGUGCGAUGAAGGCCUUCGGGUUGUAAAGCACUUUUGGCAGGAAAGAAACGUCGCGGGCUAAUACCCCGUGGAACUGACGGUACCUGCAGAAUAAGCACCGGCUAACUACGUG
rnacentral:rRNA from 1 species